UAUAGAAUCUGCUCUUUAAGGUCGAGAAUCUGCUCUAGAAGGUCGAUUAGGCCUUGUCAUCAUGUCAUCGCACUCCACUGGUAUCAAAGUUCUCGGCCCUUUUCUUAUAUUACUUUAAUUCUAUUAUAGAAGUGUGCCCGGUCUUGUCUCAGCAUUCGAGGUUGGAUGUGUUUCCUCAGUCAUCGUUCGAGGAAAGCAAAGGCCCUCGCGGAAAGAUCAAAGAAAAUGAAAAGCACAACCGCCUCUACCUAGAGCAAAGAAGCUUUGCCAGUCUUAUGACCGGAUUCACCAUAAUCAGCUUUAAGGUCCUGACUCUCAAAUUGGAUAUCUCUUUCGUUCACAAGAAUUGCUUAUUAUGUAUGAUUUGUGAUUUGAAAUUCUUUCUAUUUACUAUUUUGAUGGAAUUCAUGAACGAGUAGAUCAAAGAAAAGAAAGCAAAGCAUUCACUCCUAAACUAAAGAACUAAUCUACUGAGCUAGCCUCCCGUUAUGCGCCAAUGCUUGAACAGGACCAUUGACCUUUACCAAGCCAGUUUCCUAUAGUUGACCGAUACAGUUCGCAAGGCGGAUGUGACCGAUGGAUUUGAAGAAGGAACUCAUUUUUUUACUGAUUCAGACCAUUUACCAGAAGAGCGGUAUGGUUCAGAAGAGGUACUCAUAAUACAGAUAUCGUUUAACGAAUUGCCUGAUCGAUUACCAAUUCAUUAAGCCUACCUAUACCUCCUAAGGUUCCAGCCUACCUGUCAACCUGCUCUGACAUACCCUUCUAGCUCACUUGAAAGGAGAGCUGUUGCUACUGUAUGAAAGUCUUGAUUAAAGAAAGGGAUAAAAAUACAUUCACUCGGUUUUAGCGUAGUUUUUAUGUUUCCUUCCAUUCAUAAGAAGAAAGAGGUUAUUCUUUAGCUCCGGGUCCGACUUAUAAAUAGGGUACUUGACCUUAGGAUCGAAUCAGGCUCUCCUUGGGAUAAGCCAGAGAAUGGAUCAGCCGAGCGAAGUAAGUGAUAGGAUCUCCAGGAUUCUAAAUUCCAUGCCCGGGGAAGUCUAAGAGGAUAAAGGAGGAUGUUCCCUGCAGGGCAUUUCGCGGGGUUAGGAUGUGCAUGUUUACCAAAUGAGCGGAAGACUUGAUGCGAGCCAAUGAAGCGCUGCUAAGGCGCUCCGGCUUUCCCCUGUUGAAUCGCUCUUUCCUGACCUUCUAAGUGAGUUCUAAGUUGAGCUGGCAUAGUUUGUUCCACUUGUAGGCCAUGGUUGAGAAUCCAUACGGAAUGGACGAGGAAUUGAGGUAGGGAAAGGAAAGGUAACACCCAAAGCAUCAAAUGGACACGAAUACAUCUUAGUGGCUAUUUCUUACUACCCCAAAUGGGUUGAAAGCGGCAUCUUAUCGAACACUGACAUCGGAAAAAAGUGGCCUAAUUGAAAGAAAAGAGAAUUCGCCUUUCUUUUCAAAAGAAACUACUGGAAUGAAAUCAGCUCCGGGUAGAGAUGGAGGGGGCUUCGUAGCUUGACUUUAACGGAUCCCUUGCUUCAUAGAAUAGAUGGCUAAGCUGUCUUCUUUCCCCUUCUUAUUAGUCUCAUAUCUUCUAUCCAUCGAUUAGUAUGAAUGAGAUAAUCUAUUUCCUUCUCUUUGGCGUUGGCUCCACUAGUUUUGACUGCGAGUCGCUUUAGUUAUCUCAAAUCUUUGGCAGGAAGGGGCCAAGCCAAAUAGUGCUCUUUAGAAGCGUAAUCCGUGCUUGAAACUCCUUCGCUAGGAUCCAAAAACCUAUGCUUCCGCUCUUCCUCACCAGGCAAUGCUUACUCUUCUCGAUCAAGAUUUUGGAGACUUUGAAGCUCAAGGACACGACAUCGCUUGAAACAAAUGCUUUGUUUUGGCACCUCCGUCUUCCUUUCUAACAUUAGUAAAUUCGAGCUAAUAGGACCAGUUUUGAAUUGCCUAGAGGGUGGAGAAGUCACAUCAUCUGAGGUUUGUUGUGGGUUCAAUUAUGACCCCGGUCUAGAAGACGAAGUGGUUGCACGUGUAAGUACAUCAUGUUACAUAUCUAUUUUAAGCUAAGCUAAAUGCCUAAACUAAAAAAAUUUCUAUUAAGCGCGGCAUCCUCUCUUCGGGGCGAGCCCUAUCGAUGAUUUCAUUAUGUACAAUGUGAAACCUAAAAUACCAACGGUAGUUUCCAAGUGCCAUCUCUAUUCGACUCCCAUGCUUAUUCUUGAACGCUUGAAGGGGAAGUCCGGGCUGGGUCAGCUAAAGGCGGAGCCGGGCGGGAUAUGGUAUUAGCUCUGUAUGUGCUAUUAGCUUAAGCUUAUCACUCCAGCUUAUUACCCUAGGCAGAGGGGGGUAGGGGAGCAUCACUAGAGAGUCUCCGUACCCGGUACAAGAUCCUGGCUUAUAUAAAUUCAUUCAAGGUUAUGGCUGAACUGGUCUCACCGCUUCCUUCCUCAAUGCUAGCGGGACCAUUGCUUUCCAUUGCCUUUCGAAGGGGACCGACCAUAUGCAUACUUCUUUUUGUACAACUUUGCUCUGUUGGAGCCUUUGCAAUAAGAAAGUGGAUUAGGAGAGAGAGCUCGCAGACGAUGUUCCCUUCCUUCUAUAUAUCCAUAUAUCUAUCGCCCCCGGGCACUCCAGAGCCAGUGUGACAUUCUAUCCGAAAUGCAUGCAUCUCACAUUAGGUAGCCAUCCAUGACCCCGUGUGUGUUUCCCAAUUGCUCAUCCAAACCAUCAUUUCUUUCUUCCAUCCCGGAACGGAGAUCUGACCCAAGGAAGGAAUUGCCUUCUUUCUCAUGCCAACCAGAUGGAUGCGGCCCAGAGCUGAGUGAAUUCCCUCUGGGUGAGCGCUAUGGAGAUAGGCCAGGAUCAAUGAAAAUAACCGAGAUUGAUCGGUAUCCAUCGCUCAGAGAGCUGCUUUCUCCCCGAUAUCUGUAUCUGCUUUCGGACGGCCAAACAAGCAAGAAGAAGGAAACUUCCAUUUCGCAUAGCUGCUAAAGUAGUAGUUUUUGUCAAAUCAUACUUCUGACCAAUAGUAUCAGUGGCUUUAUGUGUCCGCAACCUAGUUUUGUAUCUGCAUAGUGAAGGAAAGAAAGAAGCAUGUUAAGGUGACUUGAGGGAAAGACUGAUCCUGAUAGACAAGAAUGGUAUGGUUGGAUUGCCAGUGAAUAAGCAGCAAGGCUAAAGCAGGGAUUGGAUUUACUUCUUCUAUUGUCAGUAGCAUCAUUUGCCUUCCACCCUCUCAAGAACUUCCUGAAGCCCUGAGACACUUGUUGCCAAUAGUCUGGAAUGGAACAUUUGCAACAGUUCUUGUAGGCCAUUUCUGUAACAGCAUAUCUCUAAACCCUUCUUGCGGAUGGUUCAAAACGAAACUUAGUGGCAGCCCCUAUCUUCCCCAUUUUCUAGAAGUAAAGGACAAUGAUCUGACCCAGCUUGCAAGAGGGAUAGUAAAACUUAGGAAAUAAAUCCUCAGAAGUUGAAGAAACCAGAACUCUAUCCAAAACUUCUCUCACUGGCCUGUCUUGUUUGUUAGUCCAGGCCACCAACCCUUCUCAGUUCCUGUAGUUCAGUUUCAGAUAUGAAAGCAUUAAAAGCUUCCAUCCUAUUAAUAUGUAUUCUGCCAUUGUUUCAUGAGCAAAUCUGAUCAUGUCCCGCAAAGGUAGAUCAACACUCUGCACAAAGUUAGUGAGCUCUGACAAAAACAUAGCUCUUAAAUUUGGUUGGACCAUAAACAUCCACCCAAGCACAAUUAUCACAAAGCCUCUAUACUCAAACACCAUGGAGAAAUUGACCCUCCCCAAUGAGGUCUGCAUCCAUGACAUCCAGAUUGACUCCAGUAAGCAUUCCACCUUUACUGCCACUGGCUGGCUUGCAAAACCACUUGAAAAGCUUUCUGCCACCAAUUGCCAUUAACUCUUUAUCUGAGAACUGUUCUCUCUUAGUUUCUUGCACACAAACUAUGUCCACCCACUCUAUCACUUCAGAAGGUUGCCCCCUUCUACCUGGCCAGGCCCCUCACAUUCAAGAUUAGUGUCUUCAUGGCGGUAUCUGUUUUUUGUUAUGCCUCCUCUUAGCUCUGCUCGUAGUGUUCUUGUCACCAACUGGUAUACAAGUACUAUGAUUAUCUAACUCUUCAACAAUCUGAGUAAUAUCCUCAUUCUCUGAAUCAGAGCUUAACUCGACACUGGAAGACUGCUCCUUCUCAUGAGCAGCUAACUUCUUUUUCUGAGCAGCUUCAUAAAGCAAUGCUUGAGCAAGUUCUCUUGCUUUAAUAGAAUUUAUAGACCUGUCAAUUUCCUCCUGUGUACUGCCCAACACUAGACCACUAUCUACAACUGAUUUUACUAGACUAGCAGAAUCAAUGGAAUUUCAAAUAGCAUAUCUAUUAGUAGAAGACAUACCUGGUUCAUCAAGAUUCUUGCGUGAAGCCAUCCUUUCUACACGUUGCUGAAUAGGCAUGCCAUCCUUCGGGAUCCUAUCCUAGCACUUGUCCUCGUUGCUUUAAUUCUUGCGUUUGCACCUCAUUGAACUUCUCUUGUUCUUUGGUCAUUCCAGAAAAAAACCUCCAUACCUUAAUAAUAGGGGCUUGUGUAUAAAGGAAAGCAGCAAACCGGUCAAAGGCGAAGCUGUUCUAUCUCAACUCUCUGACUUGAAGGAAGAUGUGGCGGAUCUCAAGGCUAGCUCUAUUCCAAGUACAAGUUCCGAGGUGAAAUGCGUUGAUGUGGCCAAUCGAUAUACAGUAUAGUUGAAUGGUUCGACAAGUUCACAUGCCGGAGCUACCUGUUCUCCGCGAUUCAAUUGGUUCUUCUGCCUUGCCUUCUUAUCUAUCAGUCCCAAGGUCAAAGAAAUAGGUUAAGUGGUUCGACCUCCCAAAGGUUAAAGAAAGACAUCGGUAUUAAGACCACUCCCUCCGAAUGAUGAUAUGUCCCAACCAUCUAUAGCCCAUGGUUCGUUACUCAGGAAUUCAGAGAGGUCAGAUGAGAUAGAUGGGUGUGUUCAAAAUGGAAUGAUCCCCUUUUCUCAUGUUUGCAUUUUUGUUGUCCACAAACAAAUAAAGAGUCCGAAAAGACGUACGCAUAACAGACUCGGUACCUAGGUCAAUGGGUUCAGUGGAGAAUUGCGUUACUGUAAUAGCGAAGGUAUCUAUGAAAUGCAGUACCAAGGUCAAUGAAAUUGAAAGGCACCUCUGACAACAGAAUCAAAAGGGAUUUGGCGGCUAUAGACGACUCAGAGGGGUUUUCAUAAAGAGAAGCUUUCGCGCAGUACACCUAUUUUUCUAUAGAAGUGAAUGGCCCCUUAGUUGGCUAGUCUGAUCAAUCGGUAGGCUCAGUCUCUACGUCGUAUUCUGAUAUAGAAAGAAAAGAACCGAACUCCUGGAGGGUGAAAGAAGAAUCUCAAGUUGAUACUCUGCCAAGGGAUCUGUCCACAACUGGUACUUCACAUGCCUUAGAAGUAGAUUUGAAUGAGAAUGAAUGAAAUGAGCAAACGUUACUAGGAAGGUGAACUCGCUAUCAAACUACUGCCUGCGCUAGGGGAAGCGCGAAAGAAAAACCUGUUUCAAGCAAGAUCUGAUACCCUUGAAGGACUCCCAGGAAUGAGAGAGCAAGUACAAGGACAAUCUUAUUUUCUAAGGAAAGGCGGUAUUCCAUAAUUAACAUAGUUCGGUUAGAGUGGAUUUGAAAAGCUACAGCAGAUCGAUAAGUUGCUAAUUUAGCUAAGUCAACUCCACUACGGAAUCUAGCUCUCCAUAAGAGGGUAUUCCCAAUGAGACAAGUAGUUUAUCGAAGGGACCCUCUGUCUGAAGAUUGUAGUCCAGAUUUGUCGGAAUAGAAUAAUUGAAUGAGCAGGUGCAGAUGGUCAAUCUCCAUCUUGACGCCGAGUCUCUCUGUCUUCUUAUUUUAUAUAAAGAUAUAGAGAAUAACUCGAUCGAUCGUAGAAUGAUUUCAUGAUCUGAUCUUCAUUUGUGCGGCUUUCGCUCAAUCCGUGGCUGUAGUGAUAAGGCAAAUCAAAGGGGUCAAAAAAGAAGAUAUAGAAUUGUAGCUAACGGGGUUCGCUCGCCCUCGCCUGUCACUAUAGCGUGUCAAGUUUCUCUCUUUCCAAUCGGGAUUUUUUAGGUGUGAAGUGAAGUUCACCAGAAACGCUAGCUAUAUGCUUAACACAGGGUACAAGAAUGAAGAAACCAUGAAACCAUCCUAAAAUCACUGCCAACACUUAGUUAGUUAAAGCCCAGGAACCACUUGUGUUACACCGGUGAAGCAGAAGCUCCGAAAGCUGUCCGAGGAGCCAGCCAUAGGUGGGUUCUUUACUGGCCAUAGGUAGGUCCCUUACUGCUGCAUCCUCUAAGCAGGGAAAGAUCGUAGCUAGUAUGAAUUGGAAGAACAAUCAUACCGAACCCAGGAUCCUGCAACUAUUCUUCCUUCGUUCAAGACUCGCUUUUCUCGCAGGUUGAAUGAGUGAGCCUUGGCCAUACAUACUGAGAUUCAACAGUCAACUUUGGAGUCCGUCCUAAAGCCCCACCAAUCUACAUAGGUGAUACCAGGGUAGGAACUUGAAAGACGAGAAUAGAACCCAUGCUGAUGUACCUUAGCUUUUCCGCUCUUCCAAUCCUAAAACAAGAUCAUAAAUAAGAAUCCCAGGCCGCUUAAUGCCCUCUUAGCACAUAUGAUAGGAGCUGGCAUACAGAAUUACAAGAAGUUGGUACUUUUUCCAAUCCUUUCUGCUUUCUCACCAGCAAAAUAGGAUCGAUCGCGAAAUCAAAGAAAUCUUUCACCUCACUUCUAAGAUGAGCUAGCGCUCGCAUCACCUUUCGAUAUCCUAUAUUUUUGAUAUUCAACAAGUAGCAUUUCCAUGGCAUUCUUUAGAUGGAUUUCACUGCCCCUCAUCUACUCCUCAACUGGGUAUCUAUUUCUCAAUACGGUGCUUUAGUGACGGAUUCUGGCAUCGCAUGGAUCUCUUAAUCAAAUAGGGUCUCCCGGAUAGGUCAAAAUGAAUGUGACACCCGUGAUAGGACCACUACUGAUUCAACUAAGCCCUUUAAGGAAGGCGGACGGCAAACACUUGGACUGAAGCAUGAGCUGGUUCAAACCACUAUACCUGAUAUAUCAUGAAAUCUAUACUGGAUUUUCAGCGCUGCGCUCAAGGUCAGGAAGAAGAAGAAGUGUGUGAGAUUGUAAUAAGUGUGAUUGGAGAAGCUUUUAAAGAAGUGGAGGAAGUAGAAUGGAUAAAUUCUAUCAAUUUCUAGCUCUCAUAGCAUAAUGAAGAAAUAGAUAAUGGGAUGCAUUAAUAGUUUCAUCCAAUUCCUAGCAAGUCAAGUACAUAAUAGUAUAAUUGAGUAUUUAGAAAAGCCUGUCUAAGACGAGUCGGUGUUGUAUGCUGAGUGUGGUUUCUUCCUGUUUCCGGAGUAGCCUCUAUAUAUUGAGUUUAUAGGAUGGAGUCCAUAUCCCUCCUUUUUACUUCAUGGAUCUUGUCAGCAUACAGGAUACUAUACUGUCAUAAAGAAAGCGGGUAUCUUAGAAUAUGGAUCAGCAUCGGAUACCAGAUUGGUAAAAACCUGCUCAAAAAGCUAGAGUUGAUGGUUUCGGGAAAGCUAAGCUAAAGCAAGCAGUAAACUAGUGGGUGCAAGCACGUUAAUGAAAAAAAACGUGAUAGAAAAUCCUACCGUUAGCAGCGACUGCAACACUUUGUAACAGCUCCUUAGAGAUCAAUGUCUUAUUGGUAUUUGCUCGAUUGCAGGCAAUAACGUUAGUAAAUUAGGUGAAUGUACGUAAAUCGAGGUACACGAGUCUAGCCAGGUAUAGGUAGAAAAGGGGUAUAGUAGGUCUCAUGGAAAGGGAGAUAGUGGGACGAAUAGUUCAUCGUGCAAGUGUUACGAAUAGAUAGGAGUCUCGACUCCGUCCUUCGAAAAGAAGAUGGUUCGUGCUAAGGGUGACUAAAGGCAGAGAAUUCUGUAUGCCAAGAAGAAAAGAAAGUUUGUAGGGGUGAGAAUGAACUUUCAAACCCUUUUCUUGCCCCUAUCCUUUUUGCUUUCGAUAACUUCUAUCGCUUCCUAAUCAUAUGAGUCUAGUGCAACAUACUACUACUAAUAUGGAGUCAUAUUCUUCUUGAGCCUCCUUUCCCAGAUCCAAGUUCCGAAUCGCAGGGAGAGAUCAAGACAAUGCAGCAGGGUUGGCAAGCAUACCUGUAUCACUGAGCAAAUCCAAAGCAUACUUUCCCUCUAAAGAGUGAAGAAAAAGACUUGGUACAGCUAGAAUACCGAGUGGAUGUGGAAUCCUACUUGAAUUCAAGUCAGAAAAAGAAACUCGAAUUCGGAACUUGCUUACUUCGGCAUGAUCAGAUACUGGAAUCCAAUCGGGGAACUUGGUUAUUGACCUACUAAUCUUUCCCUCUUUCGAGUCCAAGUCUCAAGAGGGCGCUUAGGCCGGGCCCUUCUCCAGAGUUCCGAUACUGAUAUAACUAUUUCAAUUAGUUGAUUGAUUUUCCUUAGAAUUUCAUUCCUCCUCAAGUCCCAGUUUCGGUCAAGUAGUGGCAAGUAUCAUCUGUAUCUGGCAGAUAAGCUUUCACAUGCAUGAAUUGAACUACCGAGAUCUUUUCUUACUUGGCAACUAGAGCCUCCCCUUCGGGAUUCGAGAUUGAAGAAGAGGAAAACUGCUUCUAAAGGGAACUGAUCCGAAGCAACAAGUCCUAGACCUAGAAUGCAGGUACCCUAGUCUUGAAAUAUGCCAUGAAGAAUGAAAUCUCUUGUUUUCAUUCAUAUCAUCAAAACAGUGAUUCUUUCACGGCCACCCCUCAAUUCAAGAGUUCUGAUUGGAUCAACAAGAAUCCAAUCUAUAUACCAAGAAGAAAAGAAAGGGGUUUCAUCAAGUGCAGACAAGAAAGAUACCGAAAUCAGGAACCAUGGAAAGCAGAUACCUGAUUCUAUAUAUAUAUAAGGGAUAUAAGUGCAAGAUCUGAACUAUUUCAAUUAGUGAAUUGGCGGAAAAGCAGGAAUGAAGGUUGGGACAGAAAGGGGAGAGGAGAGCCUGGACGAGGAAAACAAGCACCCCUUUUAGGAUUCUAGGAAACAAGCAAUACUUUCCCAUCUUGAACUGAACUGAACAGAGCACAGAGACUAGAAUCAGAACUGGAAUUCCCUUCUCUGAAUUCAAAAGCCCACCCGGACUUGAGAAGUAGCUUGUUCAAUUUGUCCUCAGCAGAAGCGAAACCUGUUACCAAGAGAUCGAAAUUCCAAUCAGAAAAUAAGUACUUUGAAUCAAGAAAUGGCAUUGCGUAGAAGUGAAGUGAACUAGAGAAUUCCAGUCAGAAAAGCAAUCGGAUACUGAAAUCUCUUCUCUGAAAGCUAAAGCUUUACAGAUUAUAGGAAAGCAAGCACCACGAAGGGCAGUACCCAAACUAUAGGUUAUCUUGUGUCUGGGCAAGCAAGGUCAAGUAGUGGCAUCCUAUUACCCUAAAUUGAAAGCAAAGUAGGUUAUUCAGCCAUCCCCCGCGAACAAUCAGAAGUCCCAGUUUCCUUAACUAAUCUCGCCAAUUUAUCACUUGACCGACCCAGAGACUAAUCUAUCGUUGGCCCAGGCAAAGAGUGAGAAAAAGCAGCAAAAGGAGUAGCUUGCAGUGAGGAAUGAAAGCUGGUGUUUUACCACCAUUCAGCAAGAGAAACCAACUGGAACCUUUUCAUAGGACCAUAGAAAACAUGCUGCUUCCUGUAUAGAGAUGACUGCUUCUUUAAUGAAGUUGAUUGUCUAUCUCAAGUGGUGGUGAUCGACUCCACGAAUAGCCUGAACCUGAGAAAUGUAUAUCUGCAAACGGGAACUUCCUGUUGUCUCGAAUCAGGUCUGCUAUUUUUAUUCAUAACUCUCUGGCUGGAAUCGACCAAAAUAGCCCUUGACGGCAAUAAGAGGAUCCUAACCACUACACGGUUCGAAAUCUCAAUCGAAUGAUACCUCAAUUGAACCUGCUGAGUCAGUUAUUGGAAAGAUAUCACUAUCAGCCUCACAGCAAUCUUUAGGAAAAUGUAGACACAUCAGUUUUUUCGAAACUUGUUCAGACACCGCAAGCAACUACCAGUAUCGAUCUUCUAAAGAAAUGACCUUCGUUGCCGAAGUGAUAGACAAACAAUUCUAUAGCGGACUUGGACUAGCGACACAUUUCUCCAUAUAUGAAAUUAAAUUCACCCGACAUCAAAGAGAAGCUCAAGCUCGGGAUCAAAGAUCAGCUACAGAUCGGGCUGGCAUUCAUCAUAGUCGGCAGCUUACUUUUGACUGAAACAUUUACUUUGCACUACAUCCGUAAGAAUCUGAUGGAAAAUGACUGCAACGCAAUCAAUUUAUCCCUUCCUCGUGCGCGCAUAUCGUAUAUAGUUCAAUGAGAAACAAUGCUUUCUGAUAUUCAUGAAUUGGAUUCGAACCAAUGUCCCCCGACUCCUCUAUCGAAUAAGGAUCGUGAUUCACAUUUCCUCGUUCUCUUUCUAGCUGCCCAUAUGGGUGGCUGCUAUUAUCCCCUUUUGAUAGCUUCUUAUCCGCAUCCACGAGCAUAAGCGGAAUAGCCUGAACACUCAUAGCGAUUACCUCAACCCUUGUCUUUCCUUUGGCUCCGCUCGGUGGGGGGAACCCAAUGUACCAAUUCUUUCACUCGACCCUGCUCCUUCUUCUUUCUCAUUUGCCUCUUUCCCUCUCUCCUGCUCCCCCCGACUGUCACUCUAUGGCAAAGCUAAAGCUUUCCUGGCUCUUGGUGAAUAAUCUUUCUAUAGGGACAAAUAAAAGCCCAGUUUUGACCUUGCUGCAUAUAACAUCUAGCAUUUCAUGUGUCUGAAUGUAACAGCCAAUAAUCUGGUUUGCAAACCUAUCUUUGCCCUCCUCGACUGCGGGAGCCCUCCAUCAUUGCAGUACAAUAGACGUUAAUUUCAAGCGUAGCUUACUGGAGUCAAGAACUUCUUGCAGCCUUCGAAAGAAGACUUUAGACAUGAUGCCAACACCUACGAUAGGAAUGCCGAAUAGUAUAUCGUCUGCGUAGCGAGCGAAAUAGACGUACUUGGUAGAAUCCCCAUUCUCCUCUUGGGCCAUAGCAUCGAAUUCCAAGUCGAGUUGAUGCAGGAAUGAUUGAAUCAAAAUAGGCGAGAUCGGUGAUCCUUGUGGAAGGCCGACUUCACUGUUUGAGUAGUCAUUCCCUUUCUUAGAAAGUCUCGGUGUCUUGAGAAAGCAAUUGAUGAGGUCAAUGAGAGGAGCGUUAUCUGUACCUAAGAGCUUAGACAAAUGUUAAAGUAGUAACCGAUGGUCUAUGCUAUCGAAACACUUGACCACGUCCACCUGAACCAUAGAAUCCAUAGACGGCCAUUGAGUUAAUGCACGGAAGAAGGGCCGAGAACCUUGCGGAAGCCCUGUGCAGAUGGGGAAAUUCAUGGAUCUAAUGAGUCAUUGAGUAGCUCUGCCAACGCGGUUAGUAUAAGUCGAUCGGCUGCCGCCGGUUGAGUGAUAGGCCUACCUAAAUGCUCCCGGCCUUUUCUUUGGUCUAAAGGACCUAAACUACUCACUUGCCAAACUGCCUAUUCAUAUGCCCUUUCCUAAACCACUUUGCUAGUUCUAUACACCUGCCAGGAUGCUUCUAUUGCUUGUUACGUAUUUGAUACUGCUCACUAUAAUGGAAUAGCUUUGUACUCAGUACAUGAUUGCUUUAUAGCACCUGUAGCUUAUGCAAACAAAUUCCCUCAGAGUGGCAGCUUUUCAAUGUCUAGCUAAUCCACUGCAUCUUAUAAAUUGUAUAGUUAUUCAGAACCUCUUCCUUCGAGCUCCUAUGGAAGACCUUGGCCGCACGCGCCUUAGGCGAUUUCUAUUUUCUUUAGUUUAGAAUUAGUCUUUAAUUUAGGCCGCAGGUUUCUACAAAUUAGGUUAGGCCAAGAUAUUUGAACUUGUGCAAACCAACCAGUUCUCCCAUUUUUUCCCUGUGGAUCGACACCCGAAGUACUACACGAUAGGUCAUGCUUUGCCUUUUGCAGAUGCUAGUACAGUCCUAUUUCAAUCAAAAAGUAGAGUCCUAUUUUCAAGUACAGACCACCGCUUUCUUUUUCUUUGGACUGAAGACCCGCCUGAGUUGAUAGUGCUUACUUCCCACCCGAGACUGACUUGCUUACCUCUGCACCAAUUAAAUAGUAGAAUUUAUAACACUCCAUUCUUCUAUAGAUAGCCUAGAAUCGGAACUAGAAUAUGUGCCUGACUUACCUAUUUCCAAGACAGUUACUCAACUUCCAUCGCCGCUUGACACUCUCGUAGUAGAUCAUAAUAGAAGUAUUCUUUAAAGAAAUUCGUAUAGAAAGAUGGACUAGCUCAAGACCUUGGCUUCAAACAAUUGAUUGAAUCUGGAUUCCUUUGCUUAUCCUUCCUAGCUAUAGUCUCUCUUGUGCCUUCGGCAGUAAAAGUGAAAGAUUUCUGUAUCAGCAGUUUGUUUCCCAUUUUCUCAAAGAACGCAUAAAACCUGUUCCCUCACUGUAUCAAAAGAUCAAGCAGAAGAGUCCUCUUCUUCAAGAAGAGUUUUUCAUUUCACUCUUCCGCAGCAAUGCCCGGGCAAUAAAACAAUAUGAGCAAAACAAUAUCAUAGCAAAUGGUAUGUGCUGGUUGGAUAGAGCAAUCCGUAGUUGACGUUCGAGCCAAUCUUCUCUCUAGUAUACUUUAGAUUCAGUCGUCCGUUUGUUUUGUUUUGAAUUGACAUAGAGAAAGAUUUCUCGCGUUCCCUUAAUUCAGGAAUAGGUGGCGAUGCAGCAACGAUACGCAUUCCCACAAGGGGUAGUGAAAAGCCAUUAGGGGGAAGAUAUAGGUUUCUUAUUCUAAGCCAAAUUACUAUACCAUAAGGACAUUACCAUUAUGAGAUGACACUUGAGAGGGCACUUUAAAGUGAUUGAACCCACUUUCCAUGUUAGUUUAAGCAACAAUAUCGCUAGGGACCAAAGUAGUGAAAACGGCAGCUCCAUUUUCCAAAACUUUCUGUCUCAUAAGACUGUGAAACCACACAAUUUGACAUUCCCCUUGGGAAAUAGGGAAAAACAGGCCCCGGAUUCUGAUAACUUAUGUCUCGCCUAGUGGAAAAGUACACAAUUGACUAAGAAGAUUGGAAGGUGGUACGAAAAUACUCAUCGGGUCUUUCGUUCCAGCAGUCAUGAUAUAGCUUCUAGCUUUGACCGCUCUUAAGGUGCCCGCACUCUUGGCUUGAAUCGCCGACUUGUGUGUCGGUUUAACCGAAAAGCAGAAUCCAAUCAUUUCACUACUCGAUAGAGGCUCCUCAUUCAUCCAUCGGAUAGGACGCCCCAUCUAUGGACCGAGAGAACGAGAUAUUUACUUCUUUUACAUUUGUAACUACAUUCUCACAUUUCUUUUUUGAUCUCAUGACUUUUUAUGCGAUCGGAAAACGAAUGAGAUCAGAAAGAUAGGCGGACGACUUGACCAUAAGGUCGGAUGUUUCCGUGAGCAGUAAGCAGCGGAUCUCCCCUUUUUGGGGGAAAGCUGGUUAAACAAAACUAGGGAUAGCUAGCAGGUAUUUUCUAAAGGUUCAAAAAGAAGGUAUUUCAAAAGGGCUUUGGCAAAGGAGGUUCACCUUGCCUGCUUUCCUUGUCCUCCGUUCAUCGAUAUCCUAUACUGGAUACCUUUGCCUUUUCCGAGUGGAGGCAGUAGGCUAUUCUCGUUCUUAGCUUUAUACGCCGAAACAUGCCAUUGCAUAGGCUCGUAGGCGUAAUUCGUAUUCGUAUUUGUUAUUGGUGUACGUAAUUUCCUUACUACGUCUAUCGCUUGUAGGAAUAUCUCUAAAUAGGAAUCGUAGUCCUCGUAUGUACAUCUUUCGUAUUGUGAUAAAGCACCUAUGCCGCUAGAAAUAGUAGCGCCUUAAAGAAGGCGUUCCAGGUUCUUUUUCCCCUGGUUUGUAUCAGAGCUGACCACUGAUAAUAGGAAAAAUGAAACAUUUGGUGUGUUUUAAUUCAUUCUCAAUCUUGUUUCCCCUUGCGCUCCGAGGGAAAUAAAGGGGAAAUCACUGAUUCAUUUGGAGUUGUUUUCUAACUGACUCAUUGACAUGAGAGAUUGGAUGCGAUGCGCCAGUCACUCGUACUACAGCGGACAAAGGUCACCGGCAAACGACCGUUCCACAAUGGAACCUGGCACUACUGUUUGCCCUAAGGGCCAACCCACCUUUUCAGAGAAACAGACACAUGACAUCACUAUAUUACGCAUUUUCGAGAUAAGAAAGUGGAGAAUGCACUCUUCCCUUUUUUUACAUUUUAAACUCAUGUUCAUGGUCUGUUUUAUUCCCAAUUGUUGCCCAUGUGAAAAGAAAGAAGAGAAAUUGGGCCAUGUUUCCCGAGAGAGACUGCCUUCUCUCAGGCCAGCAGUCUUAUACUUAUAGUCGACUGCUCUAUGACGAUCUGACCUCUUUGCUGGGCUCUGCUUGCUCGUCUACGCUCCGACCAACUCAGUCCAAAUCGAAAAAACGAUGUUUCCUUGAAAAAGUCUAAGAAAUAGUAGUAGUAGUCAAAAAGUGCACUUUUUCCAUAUAUUUAGAUUUAUAGGGAUCCCUAUCUUGAUCUCUAUCCACAGAGAUACCUAUCUAUAUAGAGAGAGAUUUUUCUCAAAAUUGAUCUAGACUAUCCUCUAUCCGGAUAGAUAUGUCCCUAUGAGCGACUAGGCCGAUCUUUUUUUAUAUGUUUUGGCCAUGCCCGUUUCCGCUCCGAAGAGGAAGGUUUGGAUCUUUCAAUCUUAUGUCGUGAGGGAUGUGACCUAUGUUAGGUCCAUAAGAUACCACAGCUUUUAGUGUUCUAUGAUUCACCUCCGAAUAAUGAGUAGGUAGUUCGAUCCUUUUGAUUCUUAUCUUCCUAGUAAACGGGGAUCAGGAGCAAUAGGUCGAAUUACUAUAUAAAGAAGACUUUUCUACAAAAGGACUUAUUGUUCGAGUAGGAAGAUUUCGGUUUUUCUCCUUCCCUCUUUUCAAUAAGAAGAAGUAUUUGAAAUGAAACAAAUUCCUAUUCAUUCUGUUGUGCUCAGCGAAGGAACUGCCUAAGCAUACUUUUGCGGAUCCAAACUUCUUUGUUCUUUCAAAGUCUUCUUCUUGCAUAUAAGAACGCAACUUUUGCAAUUCCUUGGAUUUGAGUAGUAAGCGGCAUCCCCUCUGAGUUGUGAGUAAGCGAAACCAUUCUUUUUUUGUUCUUCUCCAGAUUCUGGCCGGUAGGAAUUUGCCUCUUCUUUUUCCAACUGAUAUGGCCGAUAGGAAUUUGCCUAUGAUUUUUCCAACUGAUAUGUCGAUAUAGAAAGAUCUCCUUAUUUCAAAACCGCGGGUUCUCGCGUCAUUUUCUUUAAAAGAUAUUAGAUCACCGUGGGAAACUUUCAAAUGAGUAAUGGUUACCAGUCCAUUAUUCAAACAAACCCUUUGAUGACUUAUCGGCUGCCUUGCUUGAGGAAGAGUGUCACUGAAAUGGAGACGAACCGGAAUCACGUCCGAUCUUGUUUCUUGAUUGAGUAAAAAAGGGAUAUAUGAAGUUCGUUCUCUUCCUCUGUGCAUCUCCCUGAUGGGUAAAUCCCCAUAAUAAAGAGACAACUUUCGUGUAGUUUGUGAUUUGAUGUUACUGUUUCGAUUUUCUCUCCGAGAAAGAUUUCUUUUAAUGGAUCUCCUCUUGUUCCUCAAUCUUCGGAGAAUACGGCGUUGGAUUAGAGAAAGUUCUCUGUUCCGAACAUUUCCUGGAAGUAGACGACACGUUUUAAAUCUUAAUGCUGGCAUGGCAUAUUUCGUUGAAUCAGUCUUUUUCGCCACAUCACGUAUAAAGGGAAUCGAACCCAACUCUUCCACGAAUCCCCCACGAAUGGCCCUCCCUUAAUUCAAUGAACUAUGAGAAUUCCUUUUUUCGUUUUUUUCUUUUCAGUUCUCAUAAGUCCUUGAUAUACUAGCAGAAACUCAAUACUUGACCAACUGCGUCACAGUGCUCAGGUAAAGUGGCAGUGGUUGAAAGCGAGCGGAAACGUCAGUGUUUUCUGUGCGUUAUGAUAGUAGUGGUGAAAGAAAAUCCAAUUCAAAUAUCUCAACGUAAAAGGAAAAUCGUUUCACUUUGAAAGGAAAGCUAGCUAUAUGAGAUCGAAAUCACUCUAUCUACGAUAUUCAUUGCACCAUGAUUGAAGGACAAUGAGGGGCAGGUUAUAUUCCCUUUCUUCUGAUCGAUUGAGCUCAAAGGCAAAAGGCACUAAAGAUGUUUAAGAUGUUUCAUCAGAAUUGCUAUUGACAUCGACUCGUCCGAGAGAUUAGCAAGCACCUCAGGGUUGUGAGAAAUCCAUCCCCAAAACCCAGAAUUGGAUCUAUUGUUUUCACUUUCUUUCCCAAACAAUGUAUCUGUUGAUACCAGAAUUGCUUAUAUUGCUCGCCCUAAGAUGGAAAAUGCGAUAGAACCCACUUUACAUACCUCCAUAGGAGGAGAUCCCUUAGAAGAGAGUGAAACAGGCAGUACAACAAUUCACAAGCCAUAGAGAACGAAACUCGGAAGAAGAUCUAGUUUCAAGUUAGCUAGGAAGACCUCUUUCUUAAAUUAAAGGGAAGGGGUCCACAUAAGCCCCAAUUAUUCCCUAGCUUGUUAAUCCAACAUAUCAGUUGGAAUGUCUGAAUAAGAAAGAGUUGGGCGAUGGUUUUAGAAAACCCGAAACUAGCCAUGCCCUAAAGAAAGUGAAUUCCAAUCUACAUGAAUCACGAAAGAAGCAAAGCCGGUCAAAGAAUCGAUUAUAUGCCUUCUCUUUCCAUAAGACCGAUGGCCUUAGUAACGUAACGCACAGAAGGAAUAGAAGACAGAGCGAGGGGAUAUGUCACUAGCAAAAGGGAUGAACAACUACCCCUGUAUACGUAGCUUUGUGUAACAGGGGGAACGACUGUUGAGUCAAAAAGCUGAGUGAGAAGGAAGCAAAGGAUCGGUUGUGGCGGGAUACGAAGUGCUCUGCUAAGCCAAUACGAAUGUUUACAUACGAACCCACGCCAAUACAUACGAGUAGUAGGGGUAUGGAAAUUCUCAUCAAUUAAAGGUUAGGGCUCGGUUUCCGGUUGACUUUUCGAAUCCUAUCCUCUGUUUCUGGUUAAACCAAUUAAAUAGGAGUAUCCACCUAACUUUCAUAUGCUGUUGUUCCUAUACGCUAACGGGUUCAUCUUUAUAGGCAAUGAUUUCAUUUGUAUUCCAAUUCGUACGUAUACCCCAUCGCUUUGUUUACCAUCCCUAUCGUCUCGAAUAAGGUUUCCUAGCCUAGCCCAUCUCGGUGUCAGCUACCGAAAGAGAAAAUUGGUCUAAGGGCAGCAUCUACUCGUUCAUCGCUUGCCUCACAUCGAAAGAGGCAUGGCUUGUCUCUUCACUCACUCCCCUGUUUGCCAGCUUCAAUAGCAUGGAAGAAGGUGUUCAAAGAACAUAGUUUCACAUCUACAUUUUCUCCAUUUGAUCUUGAUCAAUAAUUCACUUAUAGAAAUAGAAUAGAAUAGAAAUAUCAAGAGAAACACUCUUCUUUCCGAAGAUCCACUUCUAGUGGGACAUCGUUCAUAGGGAGCGCACAUCCAAUGCGCCCUCUACUCUUCACUCUUCACUCUUGUGCUUGAUAUCCUCUUCAACAAGGAUUUUCGGCUCCAAUCCCUUUAUUUUUCCAAAGGUAAAAGAUGGAACAGACCGAAUCCAAGCCAUAUAAUUGCUUGAUGCUCAAGAGUGCUUAGUUGGAAAAGAGUUUUCUAUGUCGUUCAAACUAAUGCUCGAUUUAGAAUUCUAUAACAAAAAAAAAUAAACAAUCAAUUAAUCUAUCUCACCUAUAUUAUGAAGCAGCUGCUAGGCCUGAUAGCGAAGUGAGCUUUGUGACUUUUAGUAGGGUUGUAUCGUCCAUCUUCAACAUUCAUCCAUAAGACUUAUUUAUUCGAUUCAUUGUAUCUCGAACAGAGGUAAGUCCAGCUUCCUCCUCUUUUCUUUCUUUUUGUGAGUGGCUUUCUCUUUUUAGAAGUCGAACUCUAGACUUGGCAAAAGUCCUAUCCUUUCUUGUAGCAGAGCUACGUCCUAAUUGAUUGUAUCAUGCUCUUUCGGGUCGAGGCACCUCUAAUGUAAUCUUUGUCCAGAGGAAGGAGGACUUUCACAGAAAAACAAAAGUUGUAUGCCAAAAAGAGCCAAUGUGAAUUUAGGUUCAAAAGGAUCAAUAGCACAUGACGAAGUUCAAGUGUCUUCUCUUCAAGAGAAUAGAGCAUAAUUGUAGGAUUAUAUGGAUAUCAGUGCUUUUAUUCAAUUCUCGAGGCACUCUUCAACGAUUGAGGAGAUUCCCGAGGCAGUCUUAGUGCUAUCCUCAGGGUCACCAGCCUACUGUACCCCUUAUUCUGGCUUAGCCUUGCUUAAAUAGAAGAGGCUUGGUUAGCAUCCUUUCUAUCAGGUGUUGUUCUUUGCUACCAACAAUUCUUUAAGUACGCGGUGAAGUAAAUAAUAGUGCACUUGCUGACAGUAGAACCCCCAAAAUCUCACAGUAUAGGCCGAUAUCUUUGUGCAAUGUCAUUUACAAGCUAUGCUCCAAAGUCUUGGCAAAUAGGCUGAGAGAAGUACUGGAUGAGAUCAUUUCCGAGGACUUAUUAAAUAGGGGUGCUUUUUCUACGAAUAUAAUCAAUUCCAUAAUGCUAUCCGCUUUGACGAAGCAAAUCAAAUGACGGGCGAUCUACGCCUCGAAAAGGAGAAGAAGUGGUUCUCGAUACUGAGCAAAAAGUCACUUUCGAUGCAGAAAGUAGGAAACCAAGGAAGCAGGCAUUGGAAAAGAGUGAAUCUUUAUCCGAUCCUAUAAUGGCUCAAUCCGAUCCAACAACAGUACUUCCAAAGGCUCCUCGGCUAAGAAAAAUAAUAGUUGUAUUGGCAAGGCAUGAAAGGGAUUUUCUAAUGCUAUCCGAAGACGAAUCGGAAUACGGAACCGGAAGCCAUAGCCAGAACCUUUAGCUUGAGCGGAAGGGGAGGAAACCGGCUAUUCGAACUGGCGGGUGGGUGGAUACCCUAGUGCUUAUUGCUUUGUCGGAGCAGGGGCGGAGAGGGAUCCAUUAGUUUGACAACACAAGGGUGUCAUGUGGAGAAAGAGAAUGGAACUAUUCUCCAGGUACUGGUACCGCUUAAGCCCAAGCAAGUGAAGAAAUCCUGUAAGAUGGACUUGAUUUACUUUCCUUUCCAAGACCUAUACCAUAUGGUUUGGGUAUACCACUAUCACCUAUCGAAAUGAAACACUAACCUGCCCACGACCCCCUAUACCGGAUACCUUUGCUUUGAAACCAAUGACUAGUAGAGGAUUUUGAGGAACAACAGCAAAGGGAAGUAGGGAUGGGCUUUCCUCAGAUUAGUAUUCGGAUUUCGCUGGUCUUGCCAAUGGUUGUUAUUCAAAAGAAGGGUUCGCACCAGCAAAGAAGAAUAUAUUUUCUAGUUGUAGCUUUCGAGGAGAAGAAGGAUUGAAUCAAAGGGACGAGCAAAGGCAAAGCAAUGGCAUGUUUGGAAUUCCAUAGAGGAAUCCCCAAGCAAAGGCCAGUAUGCUAACGCUAACGCUAUUGAUAUUCCUAGCGCUUGUUUUCGUAGGAUGCCGAGGACUCUUGCUUGAAUACAACUAGAGAAUUAUCAAAAGAAUACGACUAGCUCUUUACCGCGGGGAUGCGUUGAGAGGAAUCAAUUGUUUAACCCGGUGACCGGAUAGGAGCCGUGACUGUGUGGGUAGCAUUAUCAAAAGAAGGAAAUUCGCAGCGCUCUAAAUUUCUCUAUUUUGAUUCUUUUUUUAGGGAUUGCGCCGUUACUGUACCUGCUUUCGCUAUUGCUGUUCCGCUUUGCCGUUAUCCGUCCCUUUGUUAGCAUAAUAGGAGGGUGCCUUUUUAGCGCAAGACGAUGAAAUAACAACCUAAGCUUAUCAGCAUUAGCAAAUUGAGAAAUCGAAUAGAUCCCCGGCCGUUGGAUAGGAGCACUGCCAUUACCGUGCUUAGAAUUGAUGAAAUUAGAUUUCUUACAAAACCCAGGAUCUUCCUAUUCGUAGUUUUCUUACAAAACCCAGGAUCUUCCUAUUUGUAGGUGGUAUACAACUACCCCUAUCCCUAUUGUUUUGAUACAUGGCGUAUUGGCUUUUCAUUUUUCUACCUAAAGAUCCAUCUUUUCUGGAUUAGUGAUUACUUCAAUCCAUACCCCUAUGGAAUAACAAAAAGCAAGGGCAGAGGGACCUGGAUCCGGAACCAAACAAUAAUUCGUAGGAACCCACACUGGAUAGAGGGCCGUCCCUUCCUCUUAAGAGGUGUAAUUCUGUUUGGGGAUGACAUUAGAUAAUCCGAAUCGUAGUCCUCGCGGGAAUGGUCGCAAAAUGCGAAGGAGUUUUGUUGUCGAAGCUGGGGAUCUAGAUAGGUACCGAUCUCGGUGGGGAUUUACCAAUUUUUUCUAUGGAAUUUGUUUCAUUCCUUUCAUGCACAGAUGAACCUUCUGACCAUUGGAAGUACCUUUGCCUUGGAGGAUUGUCCCGUGAUUGAGGGAUUUCUCUACAACUAUUGCGAUUAAAGACAUAUGCAAAUCCGAAACAAGGAAGUACGAAACUAAAGGGACUUUCUCUCGAUGAACUCCCUAGUUCCUAUGUUUGCUUUGAGGUAGUGCUAAUUGCUAAUGUGUGAACUAUCACUAUAGAAAAAUAGAUUGGAAUCACUUCUAACAUCAAAGAUAGGAAAAUCUGGCCUAUUGGGUGCCGAUCCACUCGAUCCUAUGCUAUGCAUUUGUGACCAAUAGAGGUAAGAUCAUGAAUACAAGAUGGAGAUGAGUCAUGCCAAGUUUGGGGAGUGUUGCUCGUACCCUCAUUGCAUGUUUUCAAAUAGGGCAUACUGCCUGUGAUUUACUAUUGAAAAACAAGUCGACAGGAGAACCCGAGUGCAACCAGAUAAGAGUUCGCUUUCGAAAGACGACAAUGGCAAGUCUCAAUCAACUGUCAUUAGAUCAAUAGUAAACAGGAGAUUCCUUUGCAUAUCAUGGAUCGAGCACACAAUAGAAUGCUCGAACUACACUCUCCUAGCAAAAGGCAGGGCAAGUGAGUUCUACACGAUAUUCGAUAAUGAAACAAGCCUUCCUCCUUCCGAAACCCCCUCUCCUCGGCCCGGGAUAGCGAUAGACGUACGAAUUCAAUCAAUGGCGAUAAUGUCAUCCCCUUUCCUUAGAUAUAAAAGAAUCAUUCUGAGCGAGUCCAUAAGAAGCGACCCGCUUUUUCAUCGGUUCCGGGGGAAGACCAAAGAUCUUGCGCGACCAGAAAAACUCAAAAGAGAAAGAGAGGUAUGCACUAUGAAGGAAUCCCUCUGACCCACUCUUCCUUCCCCUACCUACCCAUAAGGUAAGUAGGGGCCUCGGCAUCUCUAUUUCCUGAGAAACCUACUAAAACUACUUCGAGAAACCUACCAAUUCGAGAAACAAUACAAACCUACCAAAAUAAUUACUAGCCUCCCUUUUUGGGUGGCUUCCACUGCUUGUGCGAGUGAGCAAUUAUAUUUAGGAUAUCCUGGGGUUCUAAGAUCUCGAGCAGAGGAAAGUCCUGGGGGAACGUGUUUACCAUGAAUAGGAUCUCCCCAGGCUCAAGGAAUGCAAGAAGUCUGUCUAUCUUGCAUUUUAAGCCAGGAAAAUCCUUAUAUUCUGAGCACUAGAUCCACAUUUUAAAGGUUUCUUUGUAAUUGUCAGGCGGUCCCCCCACUCCGGAGGAGAAGCUUCUUCUAUGGCUAUGGCCAAAAGGAGAAAUAGUCCUGUUCAUUACAUGGCUCCUAGAAUCCAAGGCAUUUCGUCGGAAUACAUCCUGUCUUUUCACCUUUGUAGUCCUAUGCAUAGUAAGUACUAUAGCCCCAAUCAUAGCAACUAAUAAAAUCAGACUAGAAACCAAAAACCAGACGGAAUAGUAGGUAUAAAGUAAAUUGCCCAAUGUUUCCAAAUUAGUCCAACUUCGUACCUUUCUGGCAUAAACCGUAUAUCUCAGAGAGGUCGUAUUUAUGUGGGUUGGUAGUAAUGGAAUGGUUUCAUUAUCUAAAAUGAAGAACAUUUCCCACCAAAAGAUCAGUCCAAUAAUACCACUCACUGGUAAAUAGCGCAAUACUUCUUCGUGAAUCUCCGCUAUUUGAAUAUUGAACAUCAUAACCAUGAAUAGGAAUGAAACGACAAUAGCUCCUAUAUGAACUACUGGGGAGAUCAUAGCGGAGAAGUCGAGACCUAACAAAAUAAGUAAACCAGAAGUGUCGCAAAAGACUAGGAUGGGAAACAAAACGGAAUGUACCGGAUUUUUAGCACGUGCAACCAUCAAACCAGAGACCAAAGCAGGGCUCGACAAAACAGAAAGUAUCAUGGUACAUCGUCCUCCCUUGAAAUGGAACUUGAAUGCUGGAGAAAGAAGACGCAUUCAAGUCGAUCUAUUACAACCAGCGCGGUUGUUCGUAUUUCAUUUUCUUCUUCCAAGCCGACGCUCUUCUUAUAAAAGAAAGCACUCACUGAAUUACUUACUGAAUCUCGUCUUUCUCUCGGCGCCGAGAAUUUUUGACGUGUCCGGGUCGAUCAGAGGUUCGGCUUGCUUCUCCCCCACCCUCGCCUAUGAAAUGGAUAACCCUUGCUGCCAUAGCAACAUGAUUUUAAGGGCUUCUGUUGAAGCGGAAUAGGAGGAAGCCAUGCAUUCUUGAAAGAAUCUCCAAACCCCCCCCCCCUUUACCUUCUCUUUCUAUUCUAUAAAAAGGUGAACAUCUAAUCUAGGCCCGGUCGCCUUUCUAUGAAGGCGAGCAGCCCAGCCCCCUUGUUGAAAUUUGGAUAUUAAGGAAGUCGUAUUUCGCAAUAGCAGCUUCGAGAAGCUGGGCUUAGGGUGCGCCUCCUGCGGUCGUUUCAGUGACUCAAUUGGCUGGCUUCCCUCAGCUCAGACUGGUGUCGCCACCUCUGCCAGGACCGGAAUGAUUAUCCCCGCCCGAUGGGUCUACAUUCAUCCCUGAAUGUCAUCGGGUACUCUUCACUUCCCCGCCAUUCUUGUAACCGUCACCUGUAAUCCGCGCAGGUGUGUCCGCACCCCCUAGAGUGGACGAGAAAGAAAGGAUUUUUUAUCGGAGCAACCCCCCUAGGUUCCAGACCUAGGAGUUCACUUUCCCGUAUGAGCAUUCGGUACAUAUAUAAGUCAGUGGAAGAGUCAAAGGGUCACCACUACUGAGGAUCUCCCCCCUUAUCUUAGAAGGGUCGUCUGAGGGUUCGCCGCGGUUCAUUGCUGUGCUUACACACUAGGCUACCCUUCUCCAAAAGCUCCACGGGACCACCUAUCACUAGUCUUCGGCCGGAGGGGUUUAUUGCACAAAAAGGCCGGGACGCGGGCUCCCGCAGAGGAAAGCCCAACGAAUGUCAGAUGCAAAGCCCCGCACCUCAUUAAGAUCAUAUUGGCAUACUCUCCUAAAAAAAAGAGAAGACCUCAUUGAAGACGGGAGUGAGGUACAACAAGGCCAUUUCCGUCCACCUUCUCACGGAGCCGUACGUGGACGUUACCGCUCAUACAGCUCCCAGCCAGCAAGCAGUUAGCUUUCCUCUAGAAGUCAUGGAAGUGUGGAUAAAUCGACAGAAGGUUUUUAUUUCUUAAAAAAUCGCCCUAACCGUCCUAAAUAUGGACGGAGAGCGGUCUCGAGUUUUUCGGGGUCCUCGAGAUCGCAUUUUAGGUCGAGUAGAGACGCUAGGGAGUCUGUGGACUUCCCUUGGCAUUUCAAGAUGGCCUCUAUCGUCUUUUCGAGAGCCUCCCGUUUGCCCGUCAAGGGGCAUUUGACAUCCAGAGACAAAAGCAGUCCCACACGAAACUGGGAAUUUUCCCCAAUGGACGUAACCAGCUCUGCUUUCGCGGUCUCAAAAGGAGAAGCCCCGAACGCUUGCAGUUGCUUUUUUCUCUUUAUUCCUUCUAAGCGAGCCUCUAAAGACUCUACUCCUACUUUAAACUUAGAGUCCGAUUCCUCCAAUUCUUCCAAAGACAAAGUAGAACUUCGUUUUGAGGAGUUUGCCCCCCAUUCGCCGCCGUCCAGCCAGCGGCUACUCUGGGAUGGAUCGAGAUUUAGGCCAACAGAGGGGGCUUGCUCCCUUUCUUAUGGAGCUAAGGAAGGACCUGCGGGUGGCGUUUCCGGUAAAGGGGGAAUCUCAAGGAGGGUCUCCAGACCUUCGAAGUGCCCCACCACCAGGGUUGGCGUUGUGUCGACGACCCCCUCUGGCUCCGGGCGAGAGGUAAUUUCAAUGAUCUCCCCGGCCCUUUGUUCCUCAUCACCAUCGCAAUAACAAUAAGGAGACGCGGUGACGUCGUCAUCCAGAAGGAAAAAGAAAACCCCAAAGGUACCGAAUGGAAUUCUACUUGUCGGGCUUGGAUUCGUUUCGUUUAUCAAAAAUCAAAAUAAUAAAUAACAACCCAUAAAUCAAAGAGAAAUUAUGAUAAAAAAUCUAAAGUGAAGCCAAUCGCUUAUAAAAAGAAACCAGUCUCCUUUUAAAAGGAACUGGCCAAUUCACUUUGAAAAACUACGUUCUAACUUGAGCAGAAAAAUUGGUGGCAUUUGACAUCUAAAGUUUCACCACCCCUACUACUGCCCGAAAUCCUGCUUUGGUGAGCUUUCCCCAAGGUGACACCGAAGGUCUACCUCCUUUCGUGCGCCCCUCACCUCCUCCAUGAGGAUGAUCCACUGGAUUCAUUGCAACAUCAUGAACAAUGGGGCAUCUGCCUAAGCACCGGCACCCCCACCACGCUUACGGCUCUAUACCUACUGGACCUGUAUUCGGUAAAGCUUUCUUUCUAUAUGCUAAUUCUCAUGCAGUUCAUAUUGUCGAUAUGAGUAUAAUUGCCUCGAGAAAUAGAUAAGAAUUCCUUCCUUUACCGGUAAAUGAAUAGGAAUCAGGUUAAUAAAACCGGAACUGUUUCCGCCUUCCUCUCGAACUGAGCUAUUUCUCUGAAAUAUACAGUUUCACAUCAUUACAGGAAAUCCUAUACCUGUCUAUUACCACCCGGUAUGGAGCCAUCAUCGUCUUCGGCGUAGCGUGAAGACCUUCCCACGGUCUUCGAGUCGUUCUUGACUGGCUAGCAAGCACCAGUGGAAUUUAACCGCCUUGUGGUCGGGACACCGCCUUCUUCUCUAGAAUCACGCAAGUGGUACCGCUCCCCACGGUAAGGAGAAAGACCUUAAGGCAUAAACGUAGAGCCUGAGUCCACAAGAUAGUAUUUUCUCGGUGACGAUAGUGGCCAUUUUCCGGUUCAGUGGUUGUAUCCAGAAAGAUUCUAGAGUCAUUUGCCGUACCCUCCCAACCAACCAUCACAUAUCUGAAACUCAUGUGAAAAUAAAAAGCACACAAACUCUUCUGUGUUGGCGAAACUCGUUUUCCACGAUAACAUAUUUGGUUUGCUGUUGGAACUCGGGCAGAAAUGUGUGUCCCGGCUCCAACGCUAUUCUAGAAAUGCAAAAAAUAGAAUAAUAGAUGAAUUAGAAAACUCAACUGUUCUUUGUGAUUCGGUACCGCUUGAACUAACUGGCCCAAUUCUUGGUAGGUACUUAUUAGGGGGACGGCCAACCACCGAAUGAACAACGAUCUCCCGGUCCCACUUGAUUCCUGGGGAAUUUAGGGAACCCUGUGGACUUGACUCUUUUAAGAGGAAGAAAUUCGAAGUGAAAUAUCUAGAAUAUGCUUUACACUCCAUUUUCACACAGGUAUGCCCCCCUACCUUUCUGUAGAUUGAUGCACUAAUAAGACUCCAAAUCCUUCGUUUGAGCAUCCCUUUCUUUUGUAACCUCUCUUAGGAACUUCAAACAGAACAAGGCUAGGAUCCUAAUCUCUAUUCCUUCCUCCUUGGCGUCAGAUAACUCCAAUAAAGCAUGACUGAAGUAGAUAUAAAACGUGUCGAAGAGCAAUAGACUCUUUUUUUAUAGAGCUUAUCAUUGUCAUUGAUUGACCAGCAUGACUUAUGGAUUGCAUUUUAUACUGUGCUAUUUGAAUAGCUAGAUUCUGGAAAGGCAGAGUAAAUAGACUUUCUUGCUCCUGCAUCAUUCUUGCUAAGGGCAUCUAAGGAACUAAUCAAAGGUUGCAAAAGAGAAGGCUUGAAAAGGAGCUGACUUUUCCCGCUAAUGCUACUUCCGCUAUCUCGUAAGGAGGAUACGACUCAUAAACCUCCCUUGGUAUUUGGGUAGGGAGAAAGAUAAUUAAUUAGACUGAGUGAGGAAUGUAUACAACUACUGCUCAAAAGGCAAUAAGAAGCACGCACUCCUACUAGACAUGGAAGGAGUAAACCUAAAAUAUGCUUUCUUCCCUUAUGUUGAAUCGACUUCGUUGUCUCUUUCUAGAAAGUCAGCAGCUGGCCCAAGGUGACCUACUGGGAAAUGAAAAAACAAUUGGUUCAAUCGAGUACUUAUAAGCCGAACGGAGUUCUCUCUCAUAUUGUUAUGUUUACCUGGAAUGCCAUAAGCAUGCUCUCAAGGAACAACUCGAAUCACUACUGACCCGGGACUUGCUUUCGCACGGGGAGUUGGAUAAAUUACCCUCUUGUGGGUAUGGCGAUAGAUAGCAAUAGCAACGGAUUGAUUAUGAUUAUGAUUAAGUAGACUGACUGUUGGAUGAGCUCCAAAAGGUGGUGAGCCUGAUGAGUCAACUAAAGGGAGUGGGCCCUUUAAACCCCUAGGGCGUAAGCAUUUCUGCCUAUCCAAAAUAAGAGGUCAAGUCAAUCUUGAAUUUAGUACCUAUUAGUAUUAGAUACAAAAUCCUAUUUGCUUUGAGCGCCCCUAUCCUAUAUUCUCUCUAUCUAUAGAUGGAGAAAGACAUGCUCGAUAUGAAUUGGGACAAAGAAGAAAGUAAAAAGUAGGAGGUAGGUCCGUGGUUUCAAGUUGAGUAGUGAGUGGUUCCUUGAGGGGAGUCGGCAGAAACCUUUACUCAUUUGAUUUCCUCCCAAAAGAAGGAGGGGUUUUCCUGUGGUAGGCGCCAAGAAAGAUACCAUGAAAUUAGGCACCAGGUACUAUCCAUCACACUUAGAGUUGGUAUUUAUUGUUUCAUUCGAAUCCCUGCUUACCAAACGGUUGUCAUAACAGAUUUGAAUGACGAUAUCCAAUUAUGAAAUGGCUAGAGGAGGCAGAGAGAUAUGACAAAACUGAUGGUAAGGUAAAUCAAAGGUUUUCAUUUACCUUAUCAUCGUCGUAACUUUCUUAUCUAUUUAUGUAUGCUAUUAGAAAGGGAAAUUCGAUACAACCAAUGCGCAAAACCUUCUGUCUUUCCUAUGAAAACAACUUCCGCCUGGAUAGAAUAGUUAGCCAACAUGAAUUCCUGCUUAUUGUCCUUCCUACCCAUAAGUGAGAGCAAGGCCGAAGUAGAGCAUAGAGCUUAGAAGUAGGAUCUGGUAAUUGGUUCUGCUCAGCAGAUGCAAAAAAAGAGGUGUUUUUGGGGUGAGUCCCUGCCAAGCAGCUUUUGAUGACGGCGUCGUCAACGUACACUUCUGCAUUACGACCCAACUGAGACCUGAGGAUGAGGCUCAUUAGGCGCUUAAAUGUGCCGCCGGCAUUUAUCAAACCGAAGGGCAUCCGCUUGUAGCAGAAGGAAGGGGCGAUCAAACUCGUUUUUUCUUUGUCUUCCUCGGCCAUAUAGACUUGCUGAUACCCAGAGUAGGCGUCGAGGAAGCUCAACAUCUCGCACCCUGUGGUGGAGUCGACCAGUUUAGUCCUUGUACUUCGUUGGAACCAAAUUCAUGUAUAUGGAUUGCAAACCUUUUCUGCUUUGGGUCUUAAGUGAAUGAAAGGGUGGGUUAAAAAACCAUGGCCAGCCCCCCUCAAGAAAUCUCGCCCAUAGGUUACUGAUGGGAUGCUAGCUGCCGGUAUACAGGAAAAACGUGGUGCAGAGCACGAACAAGAUGUGCUAACACAUAUCCCUUAUAUUUAUUGGUUCUACAGAAGAUGUAUGAUAAAGAGCUGGCAUUAAGUCAUGCAAUGCGCUCAGGCUUUAUAAGAGGAAAGACUCUCGCCAGUAUAGAUUGAACGUACGGCGCUUGCUUACAAGACUGCUACUGAAAAAGGCUACCUCUUCAAACUGCUGAAUACCCUAUUCCAUCUAUCUUUCCCUGAAAAAGCAAAUAAAGCAUACUUCUUUUGCGGGUCAAGCAGUCUUCUACCUUGGUGGGUAGCGGAGAAUCAAAUCAAUAUCGGAGUAUUGCUCUAGCUGCUGCUGAAUUAACCUGGAUUCAAUCGUGACUCUCUGAACUAGGCUAUACUUCGUCUUCCCCUCUGGACCUCGGAAAUGGAAAAAAGUUCCCGGUGCGUAAUUGAAGAUUCAGUGAAAACUAGUCGACCUUUCAUCACAAAUUGAAGCAGAGGAUGUUAGUUGAAAAUCCAUUUGCAGAUCUUGUUGUUGAGGUAGAACCAGCUUCACCAAUAGCAUAGACUCUAUCAGUCGAAGAGAUCAGCAGGUACGAGGAUAACAGAGACAGAGAUAAAGGCUUCGUCAGCAGAGACGAGAGCGGGGCCCUUUUGAAAAUCAGAAAUAAAAGGGGCGAUCAACGAAUUGACCAGGUGUAAGCAGAGGGAACUGGAGCAGAGCAAUAUGUAGCAUACUUUUCUGUUCGAGACCCGUAUCUAGACCCUUGUGAUCGAUAGUCGGACCCAUGCUGACGGCACCGAAAUCCUGCCCCUCCCGCGGAACUAGUACCACCAAUAGAUAGGCACGUCCCUUCUUGGGCAACCCUAAAAGUAUCUUCUUGUACGGACUGAAACAAGACAAACUACUCGCGGGACCCACUUAAGAUCUCUUUCUUUAGUUUUCUGCUUUAUUCCUUUCUUAGAAAAAAGUCGCUUCCCUUAUUAGUAGCGCUAGUAUCUUUUCAUAAUGAUGACUUUUUUUCAGAGCUUCCUAGAUUUUGAGAAGCUGAGGCAUUGCCGGCUGGGGGAAAAUUUGAUCGAAACUAAUAACAACUAGUCACGAUUAGGGACAAAGCUCAGCUAGUAUACGUAAUGUGUUCAAGGCGCAUUUCCUCCAACAACUAGACAAAAGAAAAUAAGGUCGGAAGGAUUUACUUAGACGUUGUUGCAUGAGCGGCUUCUAAAUGAGUGGUUGAUGAUUCACUUUCUGAUUAUUACCCGCUAGCUAUUGAAGCGGCAGUGUGACGUCGGCCCACUGCGGAAUGGGUGCCACCUAACUAUGAUUCGGUGAAGGUUCCACCUUCCUUCCACAGAUAUAGUGAUAGUAGUUCCACUCGAUGUGGAUCGCGCCCAUGCUUGCUAAGCUCCAGGAUCAGGCUCCUAAACCUAUUUUCAAUAAAUAAGUCAUCUGGUCUAUGUUGUUGGAGUUCCGCGUGACGCCUUAAUCCCACCUCUGUGUCUAAGGAAUAGCCUUUUCUUCUUUUCUUUAUUGUUCGUGGGAACAUGUAAGAUUAGCAAUGGAAAUUGAGCUACGGCCGUCCCUUCCUCAAGCAAACAACGCGAGACUUAGUUAAUGAAACAGGAACUCCAUCCCUUGACACUAAUUUCUGAUACAGAAGUGGAAUCGAAAAAAUGCGGGAAAAAUGCACAUUCAAUAUUGAGAAAAUGUUGCGUAACUGCCCUUGCCUCAAGGUCUUGAGAAACCAGAAACUAGUGUUCGAUGGCCCAACAAAUCCUAUUGGUUUUCGCAGGGGAUGUCAUUUUUACAAGCUUUCGCAUGCUGAGCAUGACUAUGGAUUUUAUAUAGUUAUGGAAUAACCUUCUUAUCCGCGAGUUCUUCGACCAAAGACUCUUGAUAUCGCUUGUUGGGCCCUUGAUUCCGAAGUACCAGUACCGAAGGCAGACUUGAAUGCAUUAGGUUGGGAAGCGGCCUAGAAGGUGCUUAAAGAUAGGUGACAGUUGUGAAAGUUUAGUCGACUUGUCGGCAGCAACUGACCUUUCUUUCAUCAAAAGUAGGAAUGAAAGCUGGCAUGCAGAUAAGGAAAUCUCUUUUCUUCUCUUCUACUCGGCUACGGACCUUCUAAAAGGAGAAGCAAUAAAUACAAAAGUGCUAUGUUUGGAUUUGAGUGAGAUCCCGGAUCGGUAGCUUCAGAUAUCCCCUCAGACUGGAAUGAGAAUUUCGAUAGAUUUCUUUGCUUUAAAGCAUAGUUGUAGGUAGCUUAUGCUCCUUUGCUUCAUCCCUAUAGUCUAAGGAUUGCCAAUCAAACAGUAGCAGUAGACUAGCCAUAUUUAUCUUCUACAGUCUCCUGUUUCCCCCUAUUUAAAAUGGUCAGCCUGCGCAGCAGAAAAAAAGGCGCUCUAAUCGUACUCGAGCCCUUAAUCCCCCAAUAGGGCUUACUUACCCGAGUCAAUUCUUUCCUUCCUGUGCGAAAGCAAGGCCUCUUUCUCGACUUUACUUGAAUGCCAUUUACUGAGCUAUCUUCUUUUUUCUUCUUCUGGCGAAAGCACAUUUUAUUAUUUUACGUAAGCAAGACGAAAGGUCAUUUCGCCAAUCUGGGGAAUAACAGUUAAAGCAAUUGAUCGGAGAAGCCUCCCCUAGUAUUGAGAAAGCAAAAGUGGAUUCAUUCCCCAGGCGUGUCUGUGUGCUUUCCACGGGCCUGAUCUCGAUUUCUUCUUAAGCUGUUAUGUCCUCCGAAGUGAAGUGGAUUGGUCGGAAGCUAGACUCCAACAGCAUCGAUACUCAAAUAACCGGCUCUGAUACAUGGCUUAGAACCUUCAAUCUUUAGCCAUUAUUCCCAGUUCAGGUGGUUAGGUACCAAAAGUUAUAAAUAGGCCCAAUUUCUCCUUUUAUACUAGAUUUCCUUAACAAGGGCAUCCAAUUCUUGAAACAAAUCACGCUCCCUUCUCUUUCCACUUUCACUUUCAUGCCCAGUUCUUUUUCGACUUGGCAAACGUAGCAAUUUAUGUAAAGCCUCCUGAUCCGGAUAAACAUGCUCGAUACAUUCUAGUGAACUACGAAGAGAAGCUAGAAUGGUGGAAGCCUGAAUCCAGUGAGUGCCCAUUCUUAAGAAACUUUGGAAUAGUAGCUCCUAUGGUUUCUAGAGCGAGUGAAUGAAACGCUAUCUUCUUAUGAGCGGAGAUAGAGAGCUAUGUCACAAUCAAUAAGUGAGAUGCUAUGGGCGAGGAAUCUUGUGUCACAAUAGAGGUCUUCUUUUCGAAUUUAAGUGGGACUAGCUUCUUCCUCAAUUGAUAUUACUGACAAUCUAGCAAUUCCAUCCUUUAGAAGAAGAUAAGUAAACCAUUUCUUUGAAUUACAUGAUUGAGUGAUGGACGCGGACAAUCACAAGCCUACUUUGUUUAUAGAAAAGAGCGUAUAACCCCCGAUCCCUACCUGUUGUAGAGAAUCUAUCGUCUAAACUCUUCUGUGCCAUUUGCCGCCUAAUACAGUAUUUCAGUAUAAUGUUGUUUGCUGGUGCAUAUCUCUUGAUUGACUAUUUAUUGGUUAUUAAGCAUCAGUGAGCUGACCUAUGUACAAGUUCUGAGUCAACCCCCAGAUCUGUAUCUCCUUGCCUUGUAAUCUCUCAUUCAUCUAUUUAUGUGCAUGCUUUAGCGAAGUCUCCAGCCCCAUAAAUAUUAGUUAAUGCGUGAUGCGUAAAUCAAUAACUAAAACUAAAGUGCCGAUCAUCCCAUGCUACCACAGGAUUUUUCAACAACAUGACAUACUGAGAAAAAUCUAUGUUAGAGCCGCCAUUUCUUUACGGUUACAUUAGUGUGGAUUGUUCUUCUGAUUCUUAUAGGCCUGGCACCCUAGCUUCGAUAGAUUUAUUUGAUUUUGCAAGCUAUGGCACAUGAAUGUGAUAUGGGUCGUAUCCCGCACCUCCCUUGAUUCCGUGUGAAAUCCAUCCUAAAAAGCAUGAGUUGGAUCGGCGUAAAGAACAAGACGAACGUGGUAUUAUCUCUAUUAGGACGGUUAUGAGGCUCUGCUCUUUUUUUUCUUUAUUCAAUAUCUAUUCUUUGUUUCUUAUAUUCCGCUAAUUGUUAUCUUUAAUGUAUCUUUAUGCUUAAUAGAUAACUGGUGAUGCUAGAGCUGUCAAGAAGGCAUUGUUUGCAGUAUCAACCAUCAUCUACAAAUGCCCAUCAAAAGAGACCAUUUCUCUUGAAACUUCUGUCCCUCCAAGCAUUGUACAUCCUUCAGAGCUUCCUGUCUAUCCUGCUAGUAACUUCUACUCAGUGUCAGAUGCAGCUAUACCUUAUGGAAUGGACAUCCAAAUCUAGCUAUCUUAGCAAAGGAAGUGGCAUUCAAAUCUACAGGUUUUUCUUCUUUAGCCUUUUCGCCCAGCGUUGUCAUUAUUGACAUGUUUUUGCGAUCCCUGUUUUUGAGAUCCUCAAUGACUACCACCAGAAAGGGAAUGUGACCACCAUUCUUAUUUGAGAAAAGUGUCUCCACUAUAGCACUAACGAUCCUAGACAGCAGAGAAAGCUUGAUUGGAGCUAAGAACUAUUUCUAAAGGAUCCCUUCCACUCUUGUGUGGAAAGAUCUUUCUUCGUUCAGUCCAGUCUGAUUUAAAACGUGUUGUCUACUAUUAUAGGAGCUGUCGUUAGGGUCACUCCUUCUUAUGCCGGGAGAUGGCAGUUACCUAUAUUUAGAAAUAAUAAAGAAUAUGGGUGUGAUUGUCAUCACAAUGGAGUG
rnacentral:lncRNA from 1 species